rnacentral:rRNA from 1 species
GACGAGCGCUGGCGGCGUGCCUAAUACAUGCAAGUAGAACGCACAGUUUAUACCGUAGCUUGCUACACCAUAAACUGUGAGUUGCGAACGGGUGAGUAACGCGUAGGUAACCUGCCUGGUAGCGGGGGAUAACUAUUGGAAACGAUAGCUAAUACCGCAUAAUAUUGAUUAUUGCAUGAUAAUUGAUUGAAAGAUGCUAUUGCAUCACUACCAGAUGGACCUGCGUUGUAUUAGCUAGUAGGUGAGGUAACGGCUCACCUAGGCGACGAUACAUAGCCGACCUGAGAGGGUGAUCGGCCACACUGGGACUGAGACACGGCCCAGACUCCUACGGGAGGCAGCAGUAGGGAAUCUUCGGCAAUGGACGAAAGUCUGACCGAGCAACGCCGCGUGAGUGAAGAAGGUUUUCGGAUCGUAAAGCUCUGUUGUAAGAGAAGAACGGGUGUGAGAGUGGAAAGUUCACACUGUGACGGUAUCUUACCAGAAAGGGACGGCUAACUACGUG